rnacentral:rRNA from 1 species
GCAUGGAGAUAAUCUUUCAGAGAGUUCAGUUCUGGCUCAGAUUGAACGCUGGCGGGAUGCUGCUACAUGCAAGUCGAACGGCAGCACGGACUUCAGGUCUGGUGGCGAGUGGCGAACGGGUGAGUAAUGUAUCGGAACGUGCCUAGUAGCGGGGCCAACACGCCAAGCGUAGCUAAUACCACACUACGCCCUUGAGAAAAGCAGGGGACCUUCGGGCCUCGCACUAUUAGAGCAGCCGAUAUCGGAUUCGCUAGUUGGUGGGGUAACGGCUCACCAAGGCGACGAUCCGUAGCUGGUUUGAGAGGACGACCAGCCACACUGGGACUGAGACUGACGGAACUCCUACAAGGAAGCAGCAGUGGGGAAUUUUGGACAAUGGGGAAACCCUGAUCCAGCCAUCCACGUGUGCGAUGAAGACCUUCGGGUUGUAAAGCACUUUUUGGCAGGAAAGAAACGGCGGGAUAAUACCCCGUGCAACUGACGAAACCUGCAGACAAGCAUAUUUAACUACGUGCCAGCAGCCGCGGUAAUACGUAGAGUGCAAGCGUUAAUCGGAAUUACUGGGCGUAAAGCGUGCAUGAUGGGUUCGGAAAGAAAGAUGUGAAAUCCAGAGCUUAACUUUGGAACUGCACCUUUACCGAGCUAGAGUGUGUCAGAGGUGGAAUUCCACACCGAUGCAGCAAAGUGAUAAAUCUCGGAACACCAAUGGCGAAGGCAGCCUCCUGGGAUAACACUGACGCUCAUGCACAGCAUUAAGGGGGCAAACAGGAUUAGAUACCCUGGUAGUCCACACUAACGAUGUCGCUAGCUGUUGGGGGCCUUCGGGCCUUGGUAGCGCAGCUAACGCGUGAAGUUGACCGCCUGGGGAGCUGAUGCGCAAGAUUAAACUCUGAAAAGAUUGACGGGGACCCGCACAAGCGGUGGAUGAUGUGGAUUAAUUCAGGUGACGCGAAAAACCUUACCUACCCUUGACUGUCUGGAAUCCCGAAGAGAUUUGGGAGUGCUCGCAAGAGAACCGGAACACAGGUGCUGCAUGGCUGUCGUCAGCUCGUGUGUGCUCGGAUGUUGGGUUGGGCGUUCCGCAACGAGCGCAACCCUUGUGCGAACUAGUUGCCGAAAAGGGCACUCCGUAGGGGGCUUACCGGUGACAAACGGAGGAAGGUGGAGAUGACGUCGAAGUCCUCAUGGCCCUAUGGUAGGGCUUCACACGUCAUACAAUGGUCGGGACAGAGGGUCGCCAACCCGCGAGGAGCCAAUCCCAGAAACCCGAUCGUAGUCGGAUCGCAGUCUGCAACUCGACUGCGUGAAGUCAGAAUCGCUGUCUGGAUCAACGUAUGUCGCGGUGAAUACGUUCCCGGGUCUUGUACACCUGCCAAUCACACCAUGGGAGUGGGUUUUACCAGAAGUAGUUAGCCUAACCGUAAGGAGGCGAUUACCACGGUAGGAUUCAUGACUGGGGUGAAGUCGCUAAAGGUAG